AACGCACCUUGCACCCUUUGGUAUUCCAAAGGGUACGCCCGUUUGAGUGUCAUUGUAAUCUCACCUCCAUGGCUUUUGUCGUGUGAAGUGGACUUGGGCUCUGUUGGCAUAGUACAACUGGCCUGAAAUGCAUGAGUGCAUCCUGCUGUUGCAGCGAAGUCAGUGUGAUAAGCAUCUUCACUGAUUGCGACGUGGGCCUCUGCGCUGCAAACCGUCUUGUAGACAAACCUUGACAAUUUGACCUCAAAUCGGGUGGGACUACCCGCUGAACUUAA
rnacentral:misc_RNA from 1 species